CCUACGGGUGGCAGCAGUGGGGAAUAUUGGGCAAUGGGCGCAAGUCUGACCCAGCAAUGCCGCGUGAAGGAAGAAGGUCUUCGGGUUGUAAAGUUCUUUAGUCAGGGAAGAAGUAAGUGACGGUACCUGACGAAUAAGCCACGGCUAACUACGUGCCAGCAGCCGCGGUAAUACGUAGGGGGCAAGCGUUGUUCGGAAUGACUGGGCGUAAAGGGUGCGUAGGCGGUUGUACAAGUUAGAAGUGAAAUACCCAGGGCUUAACUCGGGUGCUGCUUCUAAAACUGUAUGACUUGAGUGCAGUAGAGGUUAGUGGAAUUCCUAGUGUAGCGGUGGAAUGCGUAGAUAUUAGGAGGAACACCAGAGGCGAAGGCGGCUAACUGGACUGCAACUGACGCUGAGGCACGAAAGUGUGGGGAGCAAACAGGAUUAGAUACCCCGGUAGUC
rnacentral:rRNA from 1 species